ACUAUUUCUCUUCUUUCUCCUAUAGUAUGUAACCAUACUCCCUCACUGAGAACCUUCUUGUCCCCAUGAAGGUUAAAAAUCUGGAUCAUUCAGUUCUGGGACAGGCUAAAUCCUAAGUUAAUAGUUUUAUUGUUUAAGAUUGAUGAUUAUGCCUGUUGAUUAAAAUAACUAGUAUUAAAAUGCGGUCUUGAGUAGGAACAGUCAGUUUAGGUGGGGUUUGGUUGCAAAUGAGCAAGUACACACACAUGCACUCUCUUGAUUAUUGUUAAAAUGAGUCAUCAGCCUGAUACAAACUAGAAAAUAAUAAACUCUGCAUGCAUAUUAUAGGCACAUCUUAUUGAUAUCUUAUCACUCAAACAUAUUUUUAUCGUUUCAGUAGCUCUUGUAGUCACAAGUCUGUAAGCUUCAGCUUAUCAUCUGUACUCAUAUGCAUGGUCAUUAAUUAUUUUGCAGCAUGCAUAGCUCAGGACCAG
rnacentral:misc_RNA from 1 species